rnacentral:rRNA from 1 species
UUAGAGCCCGUUAAUGGGUGAUAGCGUGCCUUUUGUAGAAUGAACCGGCGAGUUACGAUUUGUUGCAAGGUUAAGCGGAAAAAGCGGAGCCGUAGCGAAAGCGAGUCUGAAUAGGGCGCAUAAGUAACAGGUCGUAGACCCGAAACCAGGUGAUCUACCCAUGUCCAGGAUGAAGGUAAGGUAAUACUUACUGGAGGUCCGAACCCACGCACGUUGAAAAGUGCGGGGAUGAGGUGUGGGUAGCGGAGAAAUUCCAAUCGAACUUGGAGAUAGCUGGUUCUCUCCGAAAUAGCUUUAGGGCUAGCCUCGAGGUAAAGAGUCAUGGAGGUAGAGCACUGUUUGGACUAGGGGCCCUUCUCGGGUUACCGAAUUCAGAUAAACUCCGAAUGCCAUGUACUUAUACUCGGGAGUCAGACUGCGAGUGAUAAGAUCCGUAGUCGAAAGGGAAACAGCC